rnacentral:rRNA from 1 species
AUUGAACGCUGGCGGCAGGCCUAACACAUGCAAGUAGAGCGGUGUUUUCGGACCUUGCGGCGGACGGGUGAGUAAUGCGUAGGAAGCUGCCCGAUAGAGGGGGAUACCAGUUGGAAACGACUGAUAAUACCGCAUAAUGUCUACGGAGCAAAGUGCGGGACCUUCGGGCCACAUGCUAUCGGAUGCGCCUACGUUGGAUUAGCUAGUUGGUGAGGUAAUGGCUCACCAAGGCGACGAUGUCUAGCUGUUUUGAGAGGAGGAUCAGCCACACUGGAACUGAGACACGGUCCAGACUCCUACGGGAGGCAGCAGUGGGGAAUAUUGGACAAUGGGCGCAAGCCUGAUCCAGCCAUGCCGCGUGUGUGAAGAAGGCCUUCGGGUUGUAAAGCACUUUCAGCGAGGAGGAAGGGUGGUGUGUUAAUAGCACAUCAUUUUGACGUUACUCGCAGAAGAAGCACCGGCUAACUCUGUGCCAGCCGCCGCGGUAACAC